rnacentral:snRNA from 1 species
GUGCUCUCUUUGGCAGGACAUAUACUAAAAUGGGAAUGACACAGAGAUUAGCAUGGUCCCUGUGCAAGGAAGACACACAAAUUUGUGAAGUGUUCCAUAUUUAA